rnacentral:rRNA from 1 species
AACGAACGCUGGCGGCAGGCCUAACACAUGCAAGUCGAACGCCCUAGCAAUAGGGAGUGGCAGACGGGUGAGUAACACGUGGGAACCUUCCCUGUAGUACGGAAUAGCCCAGGGAAACUUGGAGUAAUACCGUAUACGCCCGAAAGGGGAAGAUUUAUCGCUAUAGGAUGGGCCCGCGUAGGAUUAGCUAGUUGGUGAGGUAAUGGCUCACCAAGGCGACGAUCCUUAGCUGGUUUGAGAGAACGACCAGCCACACUGGGACUGAGACACGGCCCAGACUCCUACGGGAGGCAGCAGUGGGGAAUAUUGGACAAUGGGCGCAAGCCUGAUCCAGCCAUGCCGCGUGAGUGAUGAAGGCCUUAGGGUUGUAAAGCUCUUUUGGCGGGACGAUAAUGACGGUACCCGCAGAAUAAGUCCCGGCUAACUUCGUGCCAGCAGCCGCCGUAAU